UUGAACGCUGGCGGAAUGCUUUACACAUGCAAGUCGAGCGGCAGCGCGGGGGCAACCCUGGCGGCGAGCGGCGAACGGGUGAGUAACACAUCGGAACGUACCCAGUUGUGGGGGAUAGCCCGGCGAAAGCCGGAUUAAUACCGCAUACGACCUGAGGGUGAAAGGGGGGGAUCGCAAGACCUCUCGCAGUUGGAGCGGCCGAUGGCGGAUUAGCUAGUUGGUGGGGUAAAGGCCUACCAAGGCGACGAUCCGUAGCUGGUCUGAGAGGACGACCAGCCACACUGGAACUGAGACACGGUCCAGACUCCUACGGGAGGCAGCAGUGGGGAAUUUUGGACAAUGGGGGCAACCCUGAUCCAGCCAUUCCGCGUGAGUGAAGAAGGCCUUCGGGUUGUAAAGCUCUUUCAGACGGAAAGAAAUCGGGCGCGUGAAUAGCGUGCCUGGAUGACGGUACUGUCAGAAGAAGCACCGGCUAACUACGU
rnacentral:rRNA from 1 species